rnacentral:tRNA from 1 species
UCCCCGAUAGCUCAAUGGUAGAGCGGGCGGCUGUUAACCGCUAGGUUCGUGGUUCGAAUCCACGUCGGGGAGCCA